UGAACGAAGUAGCAAUACUUAGUGGCAGACGGGUGAGUAACAUGUAGGUAUCUUGCCCUUUGGCCUGGCAAUAACACGAGGAAACUUGUGCUAAUACCGGAUAAGUCUUUUACGGAGAAAGCUUUAUGCACCAUUGGGAUGAGCCUGCACUUGAUUAGUUUGUUGGUGGGGUAACGGCCUACCAAGACUGUGAUCAAUAGCUGAUUUGAGAGGAUGAUCAGCCACAUUGGGACUGAGACACGGCCCAAACUCCUACGGGAGGCAGCAGUGGGGAAUCUUGCACAAUGGAGGAAACUCUGAUGCAGCGAUGCCGCGUGAGUGAAGAAGGCCCUUGGGUUGUAAAGCUCUUUCGUCGGGGAAGAAAAUGACUGUACCCGAAUAAGAAGGUCCGGCUAACUUCGUGCCAGCAGCCGCGGUAAUACGAAGGGACCUAGCGUAGUUCGGAAUUACUGGGCUUAAAGAGUUCGUAGGUGGUUGAAAAAGUUGGUGGUGAAAUCCCAGAGCUUAACUCUGGAACUGC
rnacentral:rRNA from 1 species